rnacentral:lncRNA from 1 species
AGGCAAUAGAGCAUACAAAAUUCAAAUUUCAAACAUAAUGAUGACAAAUUUUGCAAUGAUGAUGACAAAUUGGGCUUUGUGGGGUUAAGCCAAGAAAAGCCGAAAAGGGGAGGAAUGGGUUUUGGUCUUCAAAAUCACGUAUGCUGUUCAAGCCAUUGUUCUCAUCUCCACUCUUGCUUUCUUCUUCCUUUGCUGCGGGUGCACUUCUAAUCUCCUUUUCUUCUUCCUUUGUUGCGGCUGCACUUCUGAUCUCCUUUUCUUCUUCCUUUGGUGCUCUUUUUCCUUUGCUGUUUGGUUUUUUAUUUUGUAUUCUUUAAUUAAUUUUGUAUUCUUUCUUCAUCGUUCUUCUUCGCCUCUGAUGAUGAUGAACAUGAACACAGCAAAGUAGCGAAGCAAUGGUGAGUGGCGACGAUGAUUUGAUGAAGAGAAGGGCUGAACGGAGAGAAAAUGGUUUGGCUUGAUGAUGAUUUGAUGAAG